AAUGUCCAAUAGGAAAAUACCCGUAUAAUUGCAGGAAUAAGGCCUGCACGUUUCUACCGAGCCACCGUAAAUGGCUUGACUACGGCAUGAUAAAUGGAGCGC
rnacentral:ncRNA from 2 species